rnacentral:rRNA from 1 species
GAGUUUGAUCCUGGCUCAGGACGAACGCUGGCGGCGCGCCUAACACAUGCAAGUCGAACGAGCGAGAGAGAGCUUGCUUUCUCAAGCGAGUGGCGAACGGGUGAGUAACGCGUGAGGAACCUGCCUCAAAGAGGGGGACAACAGUUGGAAACGACUGCUAAUACCGCAUAAGCCCACAGCUCGGCAUCGAGCAGAGGGAAAAGGAGCAAUCCGCUUUGAGAUGGCCUCGCGUCCGAUUAGCUAGUUGGUGAGGUAACGGCCCACCAAGGCAACGAUCGGUAGCCGGACUGAGAGGUUGAACGGCCACAUUGGGACUGAGACACGGCCCAGACUCCUACGGGAGGCAGCAGUGGGGAAUAUUGCACAAUGGGGGAAACCCUGAUGCAGCGACGCCGCGUGGAGGAAGAAGGUCCUCGGAUUGUAAACUCCUGUUGUUGAGGAAGAUAAUGACGGUACUCAACAAGGAAGUGACGGCUAACUACGUGCCAGCAGCCGCGGUAAAACGUAGGUCACAAGCGUUGUCCGGAAUUACUGGGUGUAAAGGGAGCGCAGGCGGGAAGACAAGUUGGAAGUGAAAUCUAUGGGCUCAACCCAUAAACUGCUUUCAAAACUGUUUUUCUUGAGUAGUGCAGAGGUAGGCGGAAUUCCCGGUGUAGCGGUGGAAUGCGUAGAUAUCUGGAGGAACACCAGUGGCGAAGGCGGCCUACUGGGCACCAACUGACGCUGAGGCUCGAAAGUGUGGGUACCAACAGGAUUAGAUACCCUGGUAGUCCACACCGUAAACGAUGAUUACUAGGUGUUGGAGGAUUGACCCCUUCAGUGCCGCAGUUAACACAAUAAGUAAUCCACCUGGGGAGUACGACCGCAAGGUUGAAACUCAAAGGAAUUGACGGGGGCCCGCACAAGCAGUGGAGUAUGUGGUUUAAUUCGACGCAACGCGAAGAACCUUACCAAGUCUUGACAUCCCUUGACGAACAUAGAAAUAUGUUUUCUCUUCGGAGCAAGGAGACAGGUGGUGCAUGGUUGUCGUCAGCUCGUGUCGUGAGAUGUUGGGUUAAGUCCCGCAACGAGCGCAACCCUUACUGUCAGUUACUACGCAAGAGGACUCUGGCAGGACUGCCGUUGACAAAACGGAGGAAGGUGGGGAUGACGUCAAAUCAUCAUGCCCUUUAUGACUUGGGCUACACACGUACUACAAUGGCGUUAAACAAAGAGAAGCAAGACCGCGAGGUGGAGCAAAACUCAGAAACAACGUCCCAGUUCGGACCGCAGGCUGCAACUCGCCUGCACGAAGUCGGAAUUGCUAGUAAUCGUGGAUCAGCAUGCCACGGUGAAUACGUUCCCGGGCCUUGUACACACCGCCCGUC